UACGUAGGUGGCGAGCGUUGUCCGGAUUUACUGGGCGUAAAGGAAGCGUAGGCGGACUUUUAAGUGAGAUGUGAAAUACUCGGGCUCAACUUGAGUGCUGCAUUUCAAACUGGAAGUCUAGAGUGCAGGAGAGGAGAAUGGAAUUCCUAGUGUAGCGGUGAAAUGCGUAGAGAUUAGGAAGAACACCAGUGGCGAAGGCGAUUCUCUGGACUGUAACUGACGCUGAGGCUCGAAAGCGUGGGGAGCAAACAGG
rnacentral:rRNA from 1 species